UACAGAGGUCUCAAGCGUUGUUCGGAUUCAUUGGGCGUAAAGGGUGCGUAGGCGGCGCGGUAAGUCGGGUGUGAAAUCUCGGGGCUUAACUCCGAAACUGCAUUCGAUACUGCCGUGCUUGAGGACUGGAGAGGAGACUGGAAUUUACGGUGUAGCGGUGAAAUGCGUAGAUAUCGUAAGGAAGACCGGUGGCGAAGGCGGGUCUCUGGGCCGAUACUGACGCUGAGGAGCGAAAGCGUGGGGAGCGAACAGG
rnacentral:rRNA from 1 species